ensembl:lncRNA
AAAAUCGGGAUGAGUUUUUGGCCUCGUUUUUCUCCUCUCUUCUCUCUCUCCAAGGGAACCAGGUAGAGUUUAAACCAACCCGCAGAUGAACACUGAACUGCAGAUCCAGGGCCACAUAAACUCGCUUUUCUUGAUCAAAACGGACGGUGAGGCAUAACAGGAGCCCCAGCGUAAAGGAUCUUCUUCAGGUGCCAUAGCUGCUCAGGGCCACUGCAGAAGAGCUGUUCCAUGAGAGCUGUUGUGUCCGCCCCACAGGAAAGCCGCUUGGGAGGCCAGAGAGCGUGGAGGUGAAGGGCUAGACUGCAGGGUUCAAAUCUUAGCUCCCCUGCCUCCGAGCUGUGAGGCCUGGGGAAAGUUGAGUCACUGUCUCCAUACCCCCAUCUCCCCAGUCUACAAGACAAAACUAGGCAAUAAUGUUACCUACCUCUGGGGUUGUCGUAAGGAAUCAAUACGAUUGUAUAUGUUAAGAGCUUAGAACAAAGCCUGGAAAACAGCAGGUGCUCAGUAAGUGCUAACUAUCAUUCCAAGUAGCAUAGUUGGCAGCAGCAAAGUGCUCCAAGCCAGGCUGUGUUGGAUUUGAAAGGACAGGGUUUUGUUGCUAUUGUUGUUGUGUUUCGAUGUGGUUGCUGCGACAGAAGUAAAGACUCUAACCUGAUUUGUGACCUUCCAAAGAGUUUAGACCUGGGGACAAAGUUUCAAAAUUUCAGGUAGAGAUACAGGUAAGGGACAUCUAUGAGUAUUCUUAGUUGCUUGAGUUUUAUUUUAUUUUAUUUGUCUUUUUGCCUUUUCCAGGGCCGCUCCCGCGGCAUGUGGAGGUUCCCAGGCUAGGGGUCGAAUCGGAGCUGUAGCCACCGGCCUACGCCAGAGCCACAGCAACGCGGGAUCCGAGCCUCGUCUGCACCCUACACCACAGCUCACGGCAACGCCCGAUCCUUAACCCACUGAGCAAGGCCAGGGAUCAAACCCGCAACCUCAUGGUUCCUAGUCGGAUUCGUUAAUAACCACUGCACCACGACAGAAACUCCAGUUGUUUGAGCUUUAAACCAAAGACCCGCUCACCUUGGGAAUAGUGUGGUGUCUUCGGGUAGUGGUCUUAAACUUUUUACUCUCUAAUUUACAGUAAGAAAUAUGUUUUAGAGUGUGACUCAGGACACACCCAUCAGCUGAAACAAAAUUUCACAAAAGUAAUACUUAUUCCUACUUUAUGUGAUGCACUUGGCCAUUCUCUAUCUCACUCUCUUCUGUUGGGUCUCAUUGAAGAAUGCUGAUCAUCACUCUGAUGUUGAUAUCACCCUCCACUAAUGGGUUUUACUUCACAAGUGACUUGGCAGCUUAUUAGUUCUCAGUAAGUGAAGUAUUCUGGAGAAGAUGCACAGAACAGAAACAAGUGUGUGUUGUGUGUUCAGGGUACAGCAAGUUUUAAAAUACCACCAGAAUGAUAAAAGUUGACGUUGAAGAGGUAGGGCCAGAUAACAUAAAGUCUUAUAUAUAAUACAAGUAAGUAGGAUCAGAAAAGCAGUAGCUCCUCAGGGAAGAGCCAGUGCAGAUUCAGAGGUGACUAUAAAACACCAUGUGAACAAUUCUGAAAAGUUGUGGGAGUUCAGAGGAAGAUGGGAUGGCUUUCAGCUGGGAUUCCUGGGAUUCCUCAGGAUUCUGUGCUCCGCAUUGUUCAUAUGUUCAUUUACUCAAUGAAUAUUUAUUGAGUUCCCGCUAUACGACAGGUGCUCUCCCUUGGCUGCCCCCCGUCCCUCUGGUUUCAAGCACAUGAAGAUGACUUGGGUUUUCAGCUGCCUGCUAGGUGUUUUCCAGCAUGAAAAAGAAAAAGUCUUUUUUUUUUUUUCCUCAAAACCCCAGUUAAAGUCCCAGUGUAUCCUUUUGGCUUCGACUUGCGCCCAUUCCUGAACCAGUCCGUGGCCAAGGCAGCAUAACCAUCUGGUUGUCUUAUGUCUGGGUCAGAUCCAUCAGCCUGGAGUGCGGGGUAAAAUCUGCUUCAUCAGAGUCUCAUAGACUGAGGGUGGAGGAAAGUGUGAUCUUAAAUACGCUACCUUGUUUCACAGCUCUGAGUCUUCUCCCGUACUAAGUCCACUGCCUGGGAAAUGGCCUUUCAUCAUUUUUGCCUGACUAAUGAGUUACUAGCUGUCCCUAGAAACUCUGCUCAGUAAUUAUCACCAUUGUGAAAUCUACUCCGUUAGACAUACCUGCUUACUUUUUUUUCUAUAUUCUUUUGUAUUUUUAAUGUAAGUCUGUCAUUGGAUGUAUCAACUUAUAAUUGUCUGUUU